CUUCCGCAUUUUCAUGGGCUUCCCAUUGGUUCUUCCACUGUCACUCAGGACUUCUGCUCCCGCCUUCCAGCCACUAACCUGUACUUCCUGUUUCAGACCUGCUACUGGGAGCUACCCAGAGCCUGCAUUUUUAAAAAUGCCCACCUGUAAAUGCUAACGAAAGAUAUCUUUUUCAGGCAAAAUCUAUUCCAAAGGUUUCUACGUUGCAGCCCUAACUUUAAGUUAUUUUUGAGUUAAAUAACCUGACUUUUCUCUAUGGUUGUGUUACUAAAUAAUGUUCUAUUGAUGAGAGAUAUCAAACAUGCUUCUUUAUAUUUUGCUUUUAAUUUUGGAGGUUAUGGGGAUGCAUUUACAUUCCACAGGAACAAAAGCUGGCAAUGUUCCUGGGAUGACCAAAAAAUC
rnacentral:lncRNA from 1 species